rnacentral:lncRNA from 1 species
AUAAUGGGUUUUGUAGAUUGUGUGCUAUACGGGAUAUCUUUACAGGAGAGAAACUCUCCAAAUAAAACGAAAAGUUGAAGCCCAUAAUUAACUGAAGCCUGAUGACGUGUACAAAUAAAAUGUUCUCAUUGGAGGAAUAUUUUAAGUGACGUGGACAUGCUAGAAUCUCAGCAUAUUGUGCUUUUAGUAUUGUGAUUUGGGUUUAGGGUUUAUAUUUAGGUUUAGGGUUUUGGAUGAGGGUUUAGUGAUUAGAGUUUAGGGUUUAGUAUUUAGAACGUGAGGGAGUUUGAUUGGGGUCAACAUUAACUUAUUCCAUGCAAUCAUUGACAUUUAAUAAUUUAACUAAUAUGUACUAUGUUAUUUAU